rnacentral:rRNA from 1 species
UCAGUACGGCGAGUGAGCGGCAACAGCUCAAAUUUGAAAUCUGGCGCCUUCGGGGUCCGAGUUGUAAUUUGUAGAAGAUGCUUCGGGGCAGGUCGCGGUCUAAAUUCCUUGGAACAGGACGUCGUAGAGGGUGAGAAUCCCGUACGCGGCCGACGGCCUUGGCCCGGGUGAAGCUCUCUCGACAAUCCAGGUGGUUGGGAAAUGCACUUCUAAUGGGGGGGUAAUUUUCUCUUAAAGUUAAUUUUGGGCCGAAGACCGAUGCGCCACAAGUAGAUUGUUCGAAARAUGAAAAGCACUUUGAAAAGAGGGUCAAACAGUACGUGAAAUUGUUGAAAGGGAAGCGCUCGCACCCAGACUUGCCCCCGGKCGAUCAUCCCGGGCUCGCUCGGGUGCACUGGAUCGGGCUCAGGCCAGCAUCCGUUCGGGUGGUCGGAGAAAGGCGCCGAGGAAUGUGGCUCCCCUCGGGGAGUGUUAGAGCCUCGGGCGACAUGCGCCCCGCCGGGACUGAGGCCCGCGCUGCGGCGAGGAUGCUGGCGUAAUGGUUGUGAGCGACCCGUCUUGAAACACGGACCAAGGAGUCUAAUAUCUAUGCGAGUAUGUGGGUGUCAAACCCAGGUGCGCAAUGAAAGUGAACGCAGGUGAGACCCCGCGAGGGCGCAUCAUCGACCGAUCCGGAUGUCUUCGGAUGGAUUUGAGUAGGAGCAUAGCUGUUGGGACCCGAAAGAGAGUGAACUAUACGUGGAUAGGCUGAAGCCAGAGGAAACUCUGAUGGAGGGUCGCAGCGGUUCUGACGUGCAAAUCGAUCGUCAAAUUUGC